AGGCGAACUUUCACCUUCACUUUUGCUCUAUCACUUGUUGAACACUGGAAAGGACCAAUCGUAUAUGUACUGAUCUUAGCAGGCACCUGUAGUUCACUCACAUCAGCAUAUUGUGCAUCGACAGUGAAAGUCCCCGACCGGUAGAAUGUCAAAGCCUUGAUACUGGAUAUGGGAUUUCCCUUGGGGAAGACGAUAGUGCUUUGAUGAUUAUCUGCUGCUCCACUCUGAGAAUCUGAAGCAGCACCUUUCCAUGAUAAAGCAACUGAAAAUGGAAAGCUCUCAUGAACCUGGAACUCUCUCACUUUGAAAGUGGGACUGAGAAUGGCACACUGCAGAGCACAACCCCUGGCAACACACUCACUGGCAUUCAUGGUACGCCUAGGCUCCUUUCCAAAGAAUUCAGUCAAGAUCUUGAUUAUAGCAGGUACGCGAGAGCCAGAUCCAACCACCUCAACCAUGUGAACAUUAUCAACUGUCAGCUUAGCAUCUUGAAGUGCCUUCUCCAAAGGCCUUUUGACACGUUCCAAAAUUGGGACACUAAUCUGCUCAAACUCAUCUCUCUUGAUGAAGCCUCUAACAUCCUUCUCGUCCAUUAAGCAUUCAAUAUUCAAAGGUGCCUCAGGGUUGGCACUAAGAACCUUCUUCAACUUCUCACAAGCAGCCCUAAGCCUAAGACAAGCCCUAGCAUUCUGGAAAACAUCAAUCUUAUAUUCUUCCUUGAACUUAGCAGCAAAGUGAAUAAAUAGAACCUCAUCAAAAUCUCUACCACCCAAAGACCGAUCAAAAGAAUGAGCCAAAACCUUGAGUUGGCCUUUUUUGAACCCAGCAAUGCACACUUGCAUGCUUGCGUGUCCAAUGUCAACAAAAGCAACAUUCAAUU
rnacentral:misc_RNA from 1 species